rnacentral:rRNA from 1 species
AGCAGUCGAACGAUGAAGCCGAAGCUUGCUUUGGUGGAUUAGUGGCGAACGGGUGAGUAACACGUGAGUAACCUGCCCCUGACUCUGGGAUAAGCCUGGGAAACUGGGUCUAAUACCGGAUAUGACUGCGGAACGCAUGUUCUGUGGUGGAAAGAUUUAUCGGUUGGGGAUGGACUCGCGGCCUAUCAGCUUGUUGGUGAGGUAAUGGCUCACCAAGGCGACGACGGGUAGCCGGCCUGAGAGGGUGACCGGCCACACUGGGACUGAGACACGGCCCAGACUCCUACGGGAGGCAGCAGUGGGGAAUAUUGCACAAUGGGCGAAAGCCUGAUGCAGCGACGCCGCGUGAGGGAUGACGGCCUUCGGGUUGUAAACCUCUUUCAGUAGGGAAGAAGCGAGAGUGACGGUACCUGCAGAAGAAGCGCCGGCUAACUACGUGCCAGCAGCCGCGGUAAUACGUAGGGCGCAAGCGUUAUCCGGAUUUAUUGGGCGUAAAGAGCUCGUAGGCGGUUUGUCGCGUCUGCCGUGAAAGUCCGAGGCUCAACCUCGGAUCUGCGGUGGGUACGGGCAGACUAGAGUGAUGUAGGGGAGACUGGAAUUCCUGGUGUAGCGGUGAAAUGCGCAGAUAUCAGGAGGAACACCGAUGGCGAAGGCAGGUCUCUGGGCAUUUACUGACGCUGAGGAGCGAAAGCAUGGGGAGCGAACAGGAUUAGAUACCCUGGUAGUCCAUGCCGUAAACGUUGGGCACUAGGUGUGGGGGACAUUCCACGUUUUCCGCGCCGUAGCUAACGCAUUAAGUGCCCCGCCUGGGGAGUACGGCCGCAAGGCUAAAACUCAAAGGAAUUGACGGGGGCCCGCACAAGCGGCGGAGCAUGCGGAUUAAUUCGAUGCAACGCGAAGAACCUUACCAAGGCUUGACAUGUUCCAGACCGGGCUAGAGAUAGUCCUUCCCUUCGGGGCUGGUUCACAGGUGGUGCAUGGUUGUCGUCAGCUCGUGUCGUGAGAUGUUGGGUUAAGUCCCGCAACGAGCGCAACCCUCGUUCCAUGUUGCCAGCACGUAGUGGUGGGGACUCAUGGGAGACUGCCGGGGUCAACUCGGAGGAAGGUGGGGAUGACGUCAAAUCAUCAUGCCCCUUAUGUCUUGGGCUUCACGCAUGCUACAAUGGCCGGUACAAUGGGUUGCGAUACUGUGAGGUGGAGCUAAUCCCUAAAAGCCGGUCUCAGUUCGGAUUGGGGUCUGCAACUCGACCCCAUGAAGUCGGAGUCGCUAGUAAUCGCAGAUCAGCAACGCU